ACACACACACACACACACUAUAUUUGUCGGGUUAGGGAUUGUUUAGAAGUUCAAAACUCAUAAACAGACAAUAAAUUUUGUUCAUAAUGUAUUAAGGUAAAACAACCCAAUGUGUUCAAAAUUUUGAUAUACAUGGUCAUCUUAAUUCUUUUUCUUUCGCCUGGUUCUUAAAUGGUCAAUUUCAUAGGAGUCUUUAAAUUAGUACACAUUAUUUUCUCAUAGCUUGAUUACAAGAACUCAAACACAAGUUUAUGUGUCCAAGUGUUUGUUAAGCAUCUUGUCAUAGCUGGAAUUCUUUUUUUUGUUACUUUUUCCACGACUAAAGUAAAAGUCUGUCUUAUAACUCAAGUUUUGUUCCCUAGUUAACCCUUACACUUUCAAACUAUACUAUGUUGCUCCCAACUUUUAGGCAUAGCAUAUUUACAAGGAGAAACUGCAACAAAAUUUUACGUUUCCUAUUAUUUACUAAGCAUCCUUUUUCAAUUGAGAUUCUUUUUUUGCUACAUUUUCCUGUUGUAAAAUACAAAUCAGUCUUAAAACAUAAUUUUUGUUCCGGAGUUAAUCCUUGAAAAAUAUAGUGUUGCUCCUGAAGUUUUCUAGUAUAGAUAUGGGCAGGUUAAGAAUGUAAGUAAUUGUUGAAAGACACUGAUAUUUGAGAGAAUUUUUUUGUGUAUUUCCUGAUGAUAAAAAAUGAUAUACAAGGCUCGUUUUUAUUUAUAAAGACUCAUACCUCAAUAGGAAACUAAAAAAUAAGAAGCCAAUUACAAGGAGCUAAUUACAAUAGGAAAAUACA
rnacentral:misc_RNA from 1 species